UACGUAGGGCGCAAGCGUUGUCCGGAAUUACUGGGCGUAAAGCGCACGUAGGCGGCUUUGUAAGUUAGAGGUGAAAGCCCGGAGCUCAACUCCGGAAUUGCCUUUAAGACUGCAUCGCUAGAAUUGUGGAGAGGUAAGUGGAAUUCCGAGUGUAGAGGUGAAAUUCGUAGAUAUUCGGAAGAACACCAGUGGCGAAGGCGACUUACUGGACACAUAUUGACGCUGAGGUGCGAAAGCGUGGGGAGCAAACAGG
rnacentral:rRNA from 1 species